rnacentral:lncRNA from 1 species
GUCAGUGUUGAUUAUACUUACUAGGGAAGCUUUUCCUACAGCAAGUGACCUGACUGUAUUAUUAAGACUAUAUCUUCUUUAAGUUCUUUUUUUUGUUUGUUUGUAUUGGGUAUUGAACCCAGGGGUGCCAUAUCCCCAGACCUUUUUAUUUUAUAACAGGGUCUCACUAAGUUGCUUAGGGCAUUGCAAAUUUCUGAGGCUGGCUUGGAACUUAUGAUCAUCUUGCCUCAGCUUCUCAAGCUUCUGGGAUUAUAGGCAUGCAUCACCAUCUUUUACUUCUUUAAGGAGAUUAAACACUUACUGGAAAAUAACUGUUAGUUUUAAGAUAACUCCAGAAUUGCCUUUUAUAAAUUGUUCACCCCAUUGAGGACCACAUGGGAGUUAUUAUAGCAACAUCUCUAUUGGGAUUCACUUAACACAUGGAUGUAGAAAAAGUCUCAAUAUAUGAUAAUAAACGAAAUAAAUAUUAUAUAGAAAAUAGAAGAAUUCCUUAUUCAAAUGCCUUUACUUAUGUCUCACAGAAAGUUUUAUGUUCUACCUUGAAUUUGACCUCCCAGAUUAAAUGACAGUAUUUCUUCAGCUCAUCUGUUUCCUAGGAUGUUACAUUGAGAUCUCCAAAAACAGUUGUUUCUUGGCAGGUGCUGCUCUGGAAGGUGCUCACUCACCAUGGCAGGAGCAUAGUCCUGAGACAAUAUGACAGCAAAGGUGAUGUCCAAGGAGAGCACAUUGUAAAGUUGCUUCAUUUCCUCAGAUAUAAGAGUGGGAAACAAAAACUACAUGCAGAUAAAUUGGAAGAGCAAAGGAAUAAUAAGUUCCCCCAACAUAAAAGUUUGGACAAUCCUAUGUUGGGUAUUGUAGCUGCUGCUUUACCUCCAAACAAAUGCAAUAAACCAAAUGCUACUAAAAUUUCAGUAUCCACCCUAUUUGAUUCUGAGCAGCAUAAUUGAAUAAUAUGGUGUCUUUUGCUUCCUCAAUGUACUACUUACACUCUUCUUUAAAAAGACAUCAUCUCUUGCAAGUUGCUAAGCAUAGUUAUUAUUAUUCUCUAAAAUAUUCAGCAAUUGAUUGUGUCACUGCACAAACAUCCCUGGAGAAGAUGCUAUAAGCAAAGC